CCUACGGGUGGCAGCAGUGGGGAAUAUUGGACAAUGGGCGAAAGCCUGAUCCAGCCAUGCCGCGUGUGUGAAGAAGGCCUUCGGGUUGUAAAGCACUUUCAGUGGGGAAGAAAGCCUUGGGGCUAAUACCCUCGAGGAAGGACAUCACCCACAGAAGAAGCACCGGCUAACUCCGUGCCAGCAGCCGCGGUAAUACGGAGGGUGCGAGCGUUAAUCGGAAUUACUGGGCGUAAAGGGCGCGUAGGCGGUCUGAUAAGCCGGUUGUGAAAGCCCCGGGCUCAACCUGGGAACGGCAUCCGGAACUGUCAGGCUAGAGUGCAGGAGAGGAAGGUAGAAUUCCCGGUGUAGCGGUGAAAUGCGUAGAGAUCGGGAGGAAUACCAGUGGCGAAGGCGGCCUUCUGGACUGACACUGACGCUGAGGUGCGAAAGCGUGGGUAGCAAACAGGAUUAGAUACCUCGGUAGUC
rnacentral:rRNA from 1 species